GAGGGAACUGCCGGUGAUAACCGGAGGAAGGUGGGGACGACGUCAAGUCAUCACGGCCCUUAUGUCCAGGGCUACACACGUGCUACAAUGGCCGGUACAAUGAGUCGCAAGACCGCGAGGUGGAGCCAAUCUCAAAAAACCGGUCUCAGUUCGGAUUGGAGUCUGCAACUCGACUCCAUGAAGUUGGAAUCGCUAGUAAUCGUGGAUCAGAACGCUACGGUGAAUACGUUCCCGGGCCUU
rnacentral:rRNA from 1 species